rnacentral:tRNA from 1 species
UUAAUUAAAGCCAAAAUAGAGGCAAGUCAUUGUUAAUGAUUUUAAUGAAUAUAUUAUUCUAAUUAA